CUCACAAGGCGAAAACCACAACACAAGUUAUUCAACAUUUCUUCUUGUUGCUGCAUCAAUAAAACGCAAAAUAUCUGUGGUUUCAAACAUAUUGCUACAUGAGAGGAUAAAACGGACAAGGUUAAUCGUUUUAUGGGAAAUUAAAAAGGUUUCAAACAUAUUUAAGGAUUGAAAAAUAUGUACUGUUUUAAGUUGUAAUUUGUUAUGCUUUGACUAGCUGCAGCAGAAUCCAAAUUUAAAUAAUCAGCUUGAAGUCAUUUGACCAAAUUUGAAAGUUGGGUAUAGAUGUUGAUUUUUGGGGGCACGAAUGGAUUAAUCAUGGAUAUUGUACUCGACACAUAAUUCCCUUGAUUCAGUACUUUGAAGCAGCGGUAAGGCUCUCCACGAUGACGAUUAAUCUGAUUGACUACAUGAACACAGGAGGAGUACAUCCAUCAAAUUACAUACCAUAUUCGGAGUCUCACAUAAGACAUGCUUUUUCUAAUCUGGUUGGACCUAACAUUAAUGUAUACCUCUCGUGUAUGGUUAAUAGCACCAGACAUGUGCUUCUCAAAGAGGUGUAACUUUGUUUGGAUCGAGGAGUGACACAUUUCAUUACAUGUUCGGGGCUAAUUAAAAAUAAACCUUGUGAGGUGAAUAAAAAUAUAUUUCUUCCCGUUUUUAGCUUACUAGCUAGUGUAAUAUUGUACGCGUGUAUCACGUAUGAAAAAAAAUACAACUAUGAUAUAUUUUAUGUAUUAAACAAUUUCACUUUAAGCCUAACGUUACAAGCGUAAUUGCAACUUUGUUUUCUUGGUGUAGAAUUUUACUACUUUUGAAUUUGUAGUCGCGGAAGUGUUAUAAUUCUUGUGGUUAAAUUAUAUUGUGGACUGAAAUAUAAUUCUCUCUUGUAAUUCUCCGUUACAAGAAUAUACCAUUUAAGACUUUAAUUAACAAUAAGGUAUAUAUACUCCUUUUUAUUUACAAAAUUAUGUUUUUAAUUACAAACAUGACAUAAUAUUUAAUUUUUGAUAAAUUUAAAAAAAAAAAUUAAUAUUCGAUUUAUUUCCUUUUUUGGGGUUAUGUGCUAAAAUUAUGGGAUUGACAAUUAUUGUUUACCUUUUGGUUUUCCAAGCAUAAUUUUACUCUUUUAUAUUAUUAUUUUUACCCAUAUCUUGAAUUUUUCAUUUUUUUUUUGUAUAUUUUAGUAUACAAUUUAUUUUCUAAUUUUGGGAAUUAUGUGGUAAAUUUAUGGUAUUGAUAAUUAUUGUUUACUUUUUGGCUUUUCAACCAUAACUCUGUUUUAGAUUGUUUUUUUGUCCAUAUAUUGAAUUUUAGAUUAUUAUUAUUUUGUAUAUUUUAGUAUCCGAUUUAUUUCCUAUUUUUGGGGAUAUGUUCUAAAUUUAUGGAAUUGAUAAUUAUUGUUUACUUUUUUGACUUUCCAACCAUAAUUAUACUAUUUAUUAAUUGUAGUCUUCUCUGACCUCUUUAAAAUUGUUUUCAUACUGACAAAUUAUUUUUUCUGAAAUUCUAAAAUUUAUCUACGUUGUUUUUUUUGACAAAAUAUUUUAUUUUUUUAUGGCAUGACUUAAAUAACCAUUUAAAUCUAGAAAGUUUAAUAAAGUAAUUAAAACUUACAUGUUAUAUAGAUUUUCAUACAACUUUGGUGGUAAGUCUUAUAUAAUAUGUUAAAUUAUAUGACACCUCAAUAUAUACCAUAUAAUAUAUCAAAUUUGUGUAAACAAAAUAUAUGUACCAUAUAAUAUAUCAAUAUUGUAUCAUCUAAAACUCCAAGUUAUACCAAUAUUUAAUCAUCUAAAAUAUCAAAAUUAUAUCAACAAUGUAUCAUCUAACAUACCAAAAUUAUAUCAGUAUUGUAUUAUGUGAAAUACAAAUAUUAUAGUAGCAUCUGCACCAUUUAAUAAAUUGAACUUGUUGAUAUUUUUUGUCAUUAUUUUUUUCUCAAAUUGUCAGUUUAUAACAUAACGAAAAUUAUUAUUUUGAUAACAUUAUCUUUUAAAAUUAACACUAGUAUAGACUUGAGUGUUGAAGAAGAAGGAAGCUGACGAUUGGAACAGGUCCAACGAAGCUAACUGUUAUGUCUAUAGCAAGUAUUGAUGAAGAAGGAAGCUGACGAUUGGUAUAGGUCCAACGAAGCUGACUGGCGAGUUUUGCAGCACUGUUGUAGAAUUAGAGUCGCACUAGGAUUAGAUUACUUAUAUUAAUUAGGAGUAUAUUACGACUAGAAUUAUAUUAUGAUUAGAAUUAUAUUACGACUAGGAUUAGAUUAUUUAUAAUUACAUUAUUAUUAUUAUAGUAGUAAUAGGUAUUGUAGUAGGACUCUAAGUAUAGUUAACUUAGGACUCUACAAUUCUCUCCCUAUAUAAGGAGUAUGUACUCAACAAUUUUAUUCAUCAAUACAAUCCUUGAUUUCUCUAAUCCUAGACGUAAGAUUUCUACAAGGUAUCAGAGCAUAAAAGCUCUUCCUCUCUCUGAGUAUUGAUCAAAAAAAAAAUGCACGUUAGAUUGCAAUGACCACUUCUACCAAAACUAUGUCGACCUUCUCACUUCACCAACUUGUUGCCGCUUGCUUCAUUAAACUUAAGCCAACAAACUACCUCAUAUGGAGGACACAAAUAUCCCUAUUGAUUCAAAUGAUGAAACUAACAUAUCUGAACCAAGUAAAAGUAGUUGUUCCACUGGACAAACGGCUAGGAAAGUUGUAGCAGUUGAGAAGGAUGCAAAAAAUAGUGACAUCAUUGAUGAUUGGAAGGAGAAAGAUGUGUUGCUAAGGAGUUGGAUCUCAAGCACCUUGACCGAAGAAAGCAUGCAACUGAUUGUGGGCUGCUCAACUGCCAAAGAUGUGGGAAUGCAUGAAAAAAGAUUAUAUUCAAGCAACAAAAAUAAUUAAUUUUGCUAGAGGUUUAGGUCUCAAAUACAAGACCUUUGUCAUAUUAGGUAAGACAUCAUAUUCCACUCUUAAUCAAUUUUUUUAUGCUCUCACGAGUUUUGAUAUAAGGGAAGAUGAAGAAGAGGUGGCACAACAAAGCCAUAACAUGGUAUUCUCUACUCAAAAAAGCAGGGGAAGAGGAAACAACAACAUCAACUCCAAAGAAACAGGUUUCAAGCCUGCUGGACAGGGAACAGGUUCUAAGAACAGUCAAUAUGGACCAGGUUCUCUAAAUAAUAAAAGUUCUCAAAGUGAAAAUAAAGAAAGGAAUAAUAUUGAGUCAUGUCAAAUAUGUGGUAGGAUUAAUCAUAUUGCUCUUAAGUGUUUUUACUGGUGGAACUACUCGUAUCAAUCUGUAGAUGAACUACCACAAGCAACGACUAGACAUCACAUUCAUACUGAAGCAUUGACAAAACAAGUUUUUUGCUGGGUAUUCAAAGUUUUUUUUUUAUGGGUAUUCAAAGCAAGCUAGGAGUAACCGUUCCUCUACUCACUAGCUUGAGUAGAAGUGUUGAAGAAGAAGGAAGUUGACGAUUGGAACAUGUCAAAAGAACAAGUCCAACGAAGCUGAUUGUUAUGUCUACAACAAGUGUUGAUGAAGAAGGAAGUUGACGAUUGGAACAUGUCAAAGGAACAGGUCCAACGAAGCUAACUAGCGAGUUUACAACACUGUUGUAGAAUUAGAGUUGCACUAGGAUUAGAUUACUUAUAUUAAUUAGGAUUAUAUUACGACUAGAAUUAUAUUAUGAUUAGAUUAUAUUACGACUAGGAUUAGAUUAUUUAUAAUUGCAUUAUUAUUAUUAUAGUAGUAAUAGGUAUUGUAGUAGGACUCUAAGUAUAGUUAACUUAGGACUCUACAAUUCUCUCCCUAUAUAAGGAGUAUGUACACAACAAUUUUAUUCAUCAAUACAAUUCUUGAUUUCUCUAAUCCUAGACGUGAAAUUUCUACAUUGAGAACUUGAAAUUACACUAGAACUAUAUGACACUAUUUACGAAUAACAUUGAAAAUUUCUAAUAUCAAAAUUGUACCAUUUAAUAAUACUAACAUUGUACCAUAUAAUAUACCAACAAUUAUUGAAUUCUACCCCAUAUAAUAUACCAAUUUAGUUGAUAUUUCGUGUCAUUUUAUUUUUUCAAAUGAUAUUUUAUACCACAAGGGUAACCAACAUAAAUAAUAGAACUAAUUACAUCAUAUGAUUAAAUAUGAUUAUGGAAAAAAUGCUUAAUAAACAACGAAUAAAAUUCAUAUCCGCUAAUAUCAUUCAAUUAGAUUAUGAAAAAAAGUGUUGUGAAAAUAAAAAAUUAACUCAACAAUGCUAAUCCUCAUAUGGAUAUUUGGUACAAGUUUAGUUGUUGUGAUCCUCUAUAGGCUAUAACACAUUUUCUACAAUCUACUUUAGAUCUCUUGAAAAAAAAAAAUUCAAUUGCUAGUUGCGUCACAUAUCACUCCUUCAAUCUUGAAAUCCACAUACCUUCCUGGAAUGCAUUUCAAAAAAAAAAAAAAAAAACUACUAAACAACAGUUAUAACAAUCAAAUUUGAAAUACACAAUUAUAUUUUUUUAUAUCACCAAAAAAAAAAAAGUUAUAUACGAAAUGGUGUAUAAUAUGGUUAAAAAUUGGUGUCACUUCAUUAUUCUUAUAAUCAAAUUCAAACACCAACUUAUAACCAAACUGUAGGUAUAACAUUGAUUUAUGAAGAUUGAUAAAGUUGAACAUGAUUAUAUGUUACAAUCUAACCAUGCAUAACAGCAUAAUCUAAUCAAUUAUUUAUCAAUUUUUUAGUAUAAUCGAACUAAAAAACAUUAUGUAACGCUAGUUUUAAAAAAGAGUUAAUAAAUCGAAACAAUUUAUUUAGGCAAAAGUCUUAUUCUCAAUGAAAAUUAAUUUAUUUAUUAAGAAACAAUAGAAUUUUUAUUUUUAAAAAAAUGAAUUAUCACCAAGCAGAAACCAACAUCAGUAAAUUGAAAAAAAUGAAACUAUCACCAAGCAGAAAAUUACAGAAAAAAAAACAUUUUCUCAUUGAAACAACGUGGAUAAAUCUCAAAUUGAAUCAACACAAUAUUUAUCAAUAAAAAAGAAAUAUAUUUAAUUAAUUAAACAAAUAAUUUCGGAAGGUGAAAAAAAACAAAUAAUUUUGAAACAAUCAAAAAAAUAAAUUAAUAUUCAAAAUCGUUUUUAACCAAAAUAAUUUGUUUCAAAGAUAAAUUUUCAUAAUAAUUACCUCAUCCUUCGCCAUACUGAAUUAAAAUUGAAACGUUGUAAUUUUCGGGCAUUGAAAGAAUUAUUAGAGAAGAUAGAGAGUUUGAUUGUUGUUACUUGUUAGUAUACUAGUAUUGUGAUUAUGAGGGAGAGAGGGAGGGGAUUAUGUUAAUGGUUGAGAUAAUUGUGGAAGCAAAUAACAGAAUGAGAGCUAAUUAAGGGAUGAGAAUCUUAUAUAAUAAUUAUUUAUACGUUUUUUUUUGUAAUUCCUUUUUUUUAAUUCCCUUUUUUUCUUGAUUAUUUUGUGUUUUGUAAAAAUUUUAUUGCUAUGUUUGUGAAAAGUCAAACUAUUGUUAUAUAGGAGUUAUUUAUGUGCUUAAAUUGUACUAGUUUCACGGCACGUGCAUUGCACGUGUGUAUCGCAUAUAUAGUAUACAAUGUUGUAAAAUAGAAUUAAUAUUACUAAAUUAAUGUUUUUUAGUAAAUAAUUAUAAUUGAAAGAAUAUAGGACUAAUGUUUUUAAAUGAUUAAUACAUAUUGUUAUAGAUUUACUUGUAUUUUGAGAUCAUAUUGACCAGAUAUCAUUGAAACAUUUCAAAAUACAUUUAGAAUUUAAAUAUGGUGAGAAAGUGACAUUUUUUAGUAGUAUUAUUUUUACUUCACUCAAUUUUGUAAACAAAUCUAACAAACAAAUUUAUUUUUAAAAAAACAUCAAUAGCCUUUCUUCUUGAGGUUAUAAACAUAAAUGAUGGACACCAUUUAAGUAUAAUUAUUCUCUUAAAAAUUCAUACUUGAAAUUUAGUAUGUGCAUGACACUAUUACCAUAAAUAUUUCAAUAUUUUAUCUUUAUACGUAAUUUAUUUUUUAUAAAAUAUUAUUACUCAAUUAAUAUUUGAGUAAGAUUAUCAUAGAAAGGUAAUUUUACCCAAAAAAAAGGGUACUUUGUUGUUAUAACGAAUGAUGGUUAAAUAGAGGCUUGAGUGUAUGUCAAAUAUUUAACUUGACCAACACUUUGUUAUAUAUAUACAUUUUAGUACCAUAAUUUAAUUUAAUAUAUGAACAUCACCUUUGGUGAAAAAUAUUUCAUUUCAUUAAGUUUCUACCUUAUCUUUGUAGAAAUAUAGUCUUUUCAUUUUUUCUGCUGCAUACAUAUUAUCAUAUAGUUUUUUCUGCCGCAUACAUAUCAUAUAGAUUUAUAUCGUGAUUUAAAAUAUUUACCUUUUUCAAUAAUAAAAAUUAAUUGAUGAAUAAAAUUUAAAGUGUUAUUUAUAGAAUCCUUAAUUCUAUUUAUGAAUACUUUUUGACCAAUCACUAUUUUUUUAUCUAUUUUUAUAUAGCUAUCAAGGAGUAUAUCUUGUAACAUAACAUUUUCUAAAAUUAAAAUGAGCACAAAAUAACAGGAAAUUCAUACUUAAAAAAUUGCAUGCUCAAUAAAAUUAUAAAAAAAGAAAAAACAUAUGGAACAAUACAUAGCCAAUGAAGAAGGAAGACGAAAAUAUAUGUUCAUGCUACAUUCACUAUGUAUUAAAAAUAAUAUAAUUAUUAUCAUGAUUAUAUUAUCAUAUUAUAAGUAAAGGUGAAAAUCUAUUUUUGAAAUAGUGGAUAUAACAUCAAAACUAAUAAUUCAAUGGACUAUGUUGCUGCCGUUGUUUUAGUAAAAUUAAAAAGAAACUCCUUUGUUUUAGUGUGAAAGAAUAAAAAAUGAAAAAAUAAAGAUGAAAUAUCUUACCCAAAUGAUGUGUCUUUUUUCACAAUUGUUUAUUAUUAUUGUAUUUCCCACAACUUUUCUUCACUAUUAACUCAUGAAAAUCGUAAGAAAAAAUAUGAGUGUGAAUUGAUGAAUGAUUUGCUACAAUUUGUUCACGGACUCUUUCUCAUGUGGUACCUCGAAUUUAAUCAACUGUUCCAAAUAACCCUUGAGAUUUUUUAAGAAGAAGAAGAGUAGAAAACUUUAAAAAUCGUAGUUUAAAAGUGAGAGGAAACCCUCUAUUUAUAGCUAACAAAUAGUAGUAUGAAUAGGUGCUAAUUCUGCCUUAUCAGAAAAGUUACAACCUUUCGAAAAAGUCAUUGCUCAUCAAAAAAGUCACAACUCAUCAGAAAAGACACAACCCUUUGGAAAAGUCGCAACUCUUUUGAAAAAUCACAACCCUUCGAAAAAGUCACAAUUCAUCGAAAAAGUCACAACCCAUCAAAAAAGUCACAACCCUUUGAAAAAAUCACAACCCUUUAAUGUGAAAAGGUAUUUACUUUUAAUAUUAUUAAAUUAAUAAAUAAAAUAAAUUGAUUAUUUUUAAUUGGAGGUAUUAUAGUAAUUUAGCAUUCAAGUUUGGAAUUCAUGCUUUUAAGGUAGUAUAGAUAUAGAUAGAUAUUUAAGUUUUUUACCCUAUAUAAUAUAAUGCCCUCCACCCUCCCCUUGAGGAGUUAAUGAAUACGCAUUAAAGAAUCUUUCUUACAAGCAAUUGACCAACAGAUGCUACAUUCCACUUGAGUCUUGUUUGGGCAACAAACUUUCUCCCAUGAUACAAGUCGAAUACCUUCAUCACAAACACUUGUACUGAAUUCACCAAAAUUUAUACUUCACCACAAACUUUUGUAGGAAAUUUUCAUAGCUUAAGGAUAUUUCACCCGGUAUAGGUGUAUUUUCAGGAUUCAACAAGCUCUUCUAGUAUAAACGAGGAGCCAGAAAUUAAGAAAGAAAACCUAGCAUAACAAAGUAUAGACGGAGAAAUUACAAGAGAGAACUUUGUGCCUCUCUGUUCUCACAAAAUGAAAACAUGUUUUUUCUACUAUCCACAAUGGAUGAAGAACAUUAUAUAUUAGUAAUGUGACAUUUUCCUCCCUCAUUAUUGGAAAGGAUUAAUGGGAAUUAAUAUCAAUAGAGAAAAAGUAUUUAUGAUGGUAUUAAAGACUAUAGUCAAUCACCACUAUCAUGGACAAUGAAGAUUUUUUAAGGAGUGAAUAAUUUAGGACAUAAAAUAAUAUUUUCCUUCAAAUGGAAUAGGAGAUAGAAUAAUUCUUUAUGAGAUAUAUAAUACUCCAUAUUUUUCCAACAUUUUCUUAGUUAGGAAUUACAAAAUUAAGAUGCCACAUUUCACUACUUAUAUGUUAUGUAGUUAUCUAUGUGUAAAUAAUCUUCUCUUUAGACUAGAAUGAGUAUUUUUACGUUUCAUUAUGUAUUCCAUUACUUUGGACUGUGGAUUGCUAAUUUAAUUUGGUGUUGUAUCUUUCAAAUAUUGUUUGGUUGGCUUUGAUUGAAGAAACUAUACAUCGAUGAUAGUUGUUUAUGUGACGAGCAGUUAAGAAACUUCGACCUGUGAUGUUACAAUGCAACUCCACUGUCACAAUACAAUGGACUAGAAUGCAAAUUCCAAAUUGGGCAUAUAUACUAUGUAGUCCUAGUAAGUACUCUAUUUCAGUCAAACAUGAACUACAAGUUUCAUAAACCUCAACAACAAUUUGGUUCUCACUUGGAUCUUCAAUAAGACUAAAUCUAACAAUUAUCCAACCAGUUAUCAGACCACCGUUUGAGCUUGGCAUCGUGAAAUGUCAAAAGAACUUGUGAAGAAGUUGUAGGAAUAUUCAAAACCUUCUUUGAUGCCUCUUCUGAUGUCAGAGCAUAACCAGCACAAACAAUCCUAAAUUUUUCCAAUACCCGUGCAUUCUUCAGAAAAAACCUUAUUAGUUCUAUCUCGUUUUCUUCAUCUUUGAAACCAAUCAACUGAAUCGAUUUUAGAUGAGAGUCCAAGCACACAAUGCUUUCUUCAGGAUCAUGCAUCUGCCAACAAUUAAAAAUGUUGUGUUUCAGAUCUGAAACUUGCAAUCCCAAAGGUGACUUUUCAACUCCCCAGUCUCUAGUCUUGUGUUUAGGGGACUCAAAAUCUAUAUAAACAUAACAAGUAGAGAAUUACUUACUACCUUAUAUGUACAUUGUAAUUUUUUACCAAGGGGGGUCGGGUGUAAAACCUUAUCCCCCCGGCCUUGAUCUUCCCGUACCUGCCAAUAGUCACACCAUUCUUGAUACUUUAAAUAAUUCUCCCUCCAUUCUCCAUCCUAGAAGACAAUUGAGAGUCAGAAGAGAAAUCAAACACUUGUAUUGAAACAACUAUAAAUCUGAAUAAGCAGCAAUCACUCAACAACACAAGUAACUAUUUCAAGUGAAAAUGCCAAACAGGAUUCACUUUCAAGUGUCACUGAUUCAUAAAAAAUCCAAGUGAUCUGUUUGUAUUGCAGUCUGAUACCUACAAUUCAAACCAAACCAAGCCAUCCAUCCAAUCAACAUGUUAUUCAUCUCAGACUUUCAUUACAUCACUUCACAGAUGAAGUGCCUUACCUCAUCGCACCACAAUUUUAAAACCUCGAGGUUAGGCGAAUACUUGAGCAAUCGUAUCAUAACUUGCAUACAAUCUUCAUCAACUCCCAAUUUCAGUUUUAAGGACUUGAGCUUAUUAAAGCAGAUGGGAGAGAGGCAAGCCUCUUUAUACAAACCCUACAACACCAAAAGAAAAUACAAAAAAUGAGAAAAUUAAGAAUCUAUGUGCUUAUUAAAUCCAAAGAAAACAAAACUUUACCUUAAGAGAAGCCUUGCAUAGUUUCAGAAGUGAUAUAGAAGGGGCUUCCUUGAUCAUCUUAUGCACAAGAAUUCCAAUUUUCUCAUCACAAUUUCUAUCAUAAUCAUCAAAAUUGAUGUUAACAUGUUCUAUUGAAAAGAGAUUGUUGAUUACUAUAUCCUUUGGCAUAGGAGAUUUAUAUGUUAAGAAUUUGAGAGCAGGACAAGAAAUUUUGAUUUCACAAUUGUCAUAAUAGUUGCCCUCAUCAAAAGUAAGGUAUAAAAGAGAUUUCGAAGCAAUAUAAAGCAGGUUCAUAUGUUGUAAAUUGCAAUCACAUAAUUCCAAUUUUUCAAGGAGUAGACAUUCUGAGAAGAAGCAACUUGUCAAAUGUCCAUCUAAUAACUCAACAUUGCACAGAUGAAGCAAUUUCAGCUGACGAAAUCCGCCCAAAUGAUUAUGAUUAGGCAGUUUAAGUAUAUAUCCACACAAAUUUAGUUUCAAAACAUGUAAAGAUUCACAAGUUACAAGACAAUGCGGUAACUCAAAUGGCUCACAAGGCGAAAACCACAACACAAGUUGUUCAACAUUUCUUCUUGUUGCUGCAUCAAUAAAACGCAAUAUAUCUGUGCUUUCAAACAUAUUGCUACAUGAGAGGAUAAAACGGACAAGGCUAAUCGUUUUAUGGGAAAUUAAAAAGGUAUCGAUAAAUUCUUUGAAUUCCUCAAAAUCUGGAUCUGAAUCAGAGAAAUUACUAUCAAAGCGGAAGUAGGGGAUGGUAGUGCAUAUGUUUUUCCAUCUUUUGGACAAUACAGUCAUAUGAAUCACAUCAAAAAUACAGAGAUUUGA
rnacentral:lncRNA from 1 species